AUUGAACGCUGGCGGCAGGCCUAACACAUGCAAGUCGAGCGAGCGGCGGACGGGUGAGUAAUGUCUGGGAAACUGCCUGAUGGAGGGGGAUAACUACUGGAAACGGUAGCUAAUACCGCAUACCAUCAGAUGUGCCCAGGUGGGAUUAGCUAGUAGGUGGGGUAAGGGCUCACCUAGGCGACGAUCCCUAGCUGGUCUGAGAGGAUGACCAGCAACACUGGAACUGAGACAAGGUCCAGACUCGUACGGGAGGCAGCAGUGGGGAAUAUUGGACAAUGGGCGCAAGCCUGAUGCAGCCAUGCCGCGUGUGUGAAGAAGGCCGUCGGGUUGUAAAGCACUUUCAGCGGGGAGGCGUGACCCGCAGAAGAAGCACCGGCUAACUCCGUGCCAGCAGCCGCGGUAAUUC
rnacentral:rRNA from 1 species